AUCGGGCGGAGCUUACGUUUUAAUUUGCAUAAGGACAGUCUAUUUGAAGAUGUGUGUGAUAAGGAUGAUAGCCGUUAUAAUUAUUACUGAUUUCUAAUCACCUAUCAGUGUCAUCAAAGGAAUUUAAAAACAAUGACUGGACACUUCAUUGAUGAGUUUAUCCUAAAACACCUAUCUAUAGAUGGACUGGUUUAUUGUGAGCGAAUCGGUUAAAAUCCGCCCAGUCAAG
rnacentral:lncRNA from 1 species